CUUGGCUGCUAUGCUUGUUCAAUGUGCUGAAGGUGCAGCAGGCAAAGGGUCACGGUUAUGCAAUCCAGCCAACAGGACAGACUCUUUGUAUCCCUAACAGUCUGACAGCCAAACUCAUCAAAGCUGUUCUCCACAACUUAAACGGUGUUUAUGUCCAGAGUGCUAAGGACACAUGACGCUUUGGUUUCUGAUUCCUGCUCUUGAGCUUCUGACGAACUACAGCAACAGUGGUGAAGAAAUUUCCCAUGAACAGAAUAAGGAAGCAGAGACCACACAUCAUGACCUGGCAUCAUAAGGAACAUAGAGAACAAAACAUGAGUCUUAGCAUCUUCUUCUGAUAGUCCUUUGCUGCAUCUGAUGGAUGAUGAAAGGGCACAAGUCUAUAUCGUUGGCAGAUGACGACAUGUGAGUCAAUUGAGGGUCAUUUGAGUGUCAGCUGAGGAGGGUCCACUUUGUCCGUAUCAGUAAGCUUAUCUUCCUCCCUGUGAGUCUGUGAGCGUAUAAUGUGUGUGUGGCCUGAUGUGCUGUAUUUAUCUGCAUAUAUGACAAUAAACAUGUAUCCAUGCAAA